UACGUAGGGGGCAAGCGUUGUCCGGAUUUAUUGGGCGUAAAGAGCGUGUAGGCGGCUAGAUAGGUCCGUUGUGAAAACUCGAGGCUCAACCUCGAGACGCCGAUGGAAACCAUCUGGCUAGAGUCCGGAAGAGGAGAGUGGAAUUCCUGGUGUAGCGGUGAAAUUCGUAGAUAUCAAGCGGAACACCGGUGGCGAAGGCGGCCUUCUGGACGAUGACUGACGCUGAGACGCGAAAGCGUGGGAGC
rnacentral:rRNA from 1 species